CUUGCAAGCACUAUGAUGCAAUUAAUAAAUGCAUGUUAUUAUACAGGGAGUCAAAAGACCCAAAUUCUAGUUCAUACUUUUGCCCUUUACUAUCUAGAUGUCCAGAAGCAAAUAUUUUGACCUCUCUGAGCUCAGUUUCCUUGGUCUAUAUGGUCUCUUCUGGAUCUAACAUUCUACGGUUCGAUGAAUCAACGAAUGAACCAGUGAAGAAGCAAAACCUUUGCCAGAUGCAGUUACAAAAUCUUCAAAACAAGUAACCACCCACCCAACUUCCCAUGAUAAAAAGGAAGUCAGUGCCUUCUGGAGUCACCCGGCCAUGAUGAUGUCACAAACAAGUGACCUCAGUCCAAACACACAUUUCCCUGGUCAACUUCAUCCCUAAGAAGGUCCUAUUCCUAUGAGGAAGUUCAACCGCCAGCUACUUCCCAAAGAUGAUGGCCAGGGACUGCCCAGCUCCUUCUUGAAAGACCAUUUGCUUCUGGACCCUGAACAGCUUCCUUAUUAGUCCCUCUCUAAGGAGGGGGGAGGGCUUACCUUAAAGGGAAUGAAGAAGUCAGAGCAGUCCAGGCAUGGAGCUAAGCCAUAUUGUGCAGCAACCAAGAUGACGGCAUCUAUCAAGCCAAGACCUCUGCUGUGGAGGGCUCCCAUCUACCUUCAUCCACAAGAUCAGUGGCCAUGUGUUUUAUUUCCUGGAAGCCUCCAGUACAGACAGAAAGCAUAUCAUGCUGGUACAAACAACUUACUGUUUCCAUCGAGUAAAUAUAUUAAAGGAAUUCCUUCCAGUGGAUUCAAAGAAAAGCAUCAUUUUGACUUGCCACACACAGGCCACCACCUCCCUGUAGAACCUGACAGAGAACAACAUCUUCCCAGAAGAAGACACCACCAUCACCACCACCACCACCAUCAUAAGCAGAGCCCACAACCAGAACAGAUGCAGCAGAAGACCCAGUGUGUCUGCCCUUCACUACAACAUUUAGAUUCUCCAAGACAUCGAAAUUCUUCAAAAGAAAAGAAAACCAGAAAAUGUACCUUUCAGGGUCUGGAGGAGGUUCACUUUCUUCCUUCUAUAUCGUCUUCCCAUAAACACUCCUCAAUUCAACAGCAAAAUGAACAUUGCCAUUCAAGAAGAACUUGUCAUCAUCAUGAACCUACCAUGGUCAAUCACUACUGUAGCAGGUGUGGCCUCCCAAGAAAUCUUCCUCAAAUGUUCACCAUUAGAAGAUACAACCCAGGGUAUCAGCAGUUCCCAUACAGACACUGACAUUCAAGAAAGAAGCCCUGGAAGUAAAGGCACCCUCCACCCCCUCCAAGAAAGCCACCUUUCUCAGCAAGCUCUACCAAAGGUAGGUGACCAAGAUUCGAGUAGCAAGUAUCAGCGGGACCUAUACAUCAAGGACAAGUGUACUAACUUCUGAACAUUAAAAGGUCUAUUAAGAUGACACGGUGCCUCAUGCAUUGUCUUAAUCCUUCAGCAAAUUGUUUGUACAAGGUAGGGGGAAAAGAAUUGAAGAACCUGGGUUCUCAUUAGCUAUGUGACCACGGGCAAGUCACUUAAUCUCUUGGAAACUCAUUUUUUUCAUCUGUAAAAUGGACAUAUUAAUACUUCUGCUG
ensembl:lncRNA